UACGGAGGGUGCAAGCGUUAUCCGGAUUCACUGGGUUUAAAGGGUGCGUAGGCGGAUAGGUAAGUCCGUGGUGAAAUCCUGCAGCUUAACUGCAGAACUGCCAUGGAUACUAUUUAUCUUGAAUGUCGUGGAGGUUAGCAGAAUAUGUCAUGUAGCGGUGAAAUACUUAGAUAUGACAUAGAAUACCCAUUGCGAAGGCAGCUAACUACGCGAUAAUUGACGCUGAUGCACGAAAAGCGUGGGGGAGUCAAACAGGA
rnacentral:rRNA from 1 species